rnacentral:rRNA from 1 species
UACGAAGGGGGCGAGCGUUGUUCGGAGUUACUGGGCGUAAAGGGCGCGUAGGCGGCGAUCCAAGUUAGGCGUGAAAGCCCCGGGCUUAACCUGGGAAUUGCGCUUAAGACUGGACUGCUUGAGUGCGGGAGAGGUGAGUGGAAUUCUCAGUGUAGAGGUGAAAUUCGUAGAUAUUGGGAAGAACACCAGUGGCGAAGGCGGCUCACUGGCCCGCAACUGACGCUGAGGCGCGAAAGCGUGGGGAGCAAACAGG